rnacentral:rRNA from 1 species
UACGGGGGGGGCAAGCGUUGUUCGGAAUUACUGGGCGUAAAGGGCUCGUAGGUGGCCAACUAAGUCAGACGUGAAAUCCCUCGGCUUAACCGGGGAACUGCGUCUGAUACUGGAUGGCUUGAGUUCGGGAGAGGGAAGCGGAAUUCCGGGUGUAGCGGUGAAAUGCGUAGAUAUCCGGAGGAACACCGGUGGCGAAGGCGGCUUCCUGGACCGACACUGACGCUGAGGCGCGAAAGCUAGGGGAGCAAACGGG